UACGUAGGGGGCAAGCGUUGUCCGGAUUUAUUGGGCGUAAAGAGCGUGUAGGCGGCCAGGUAGGUCCGCUGUGAAAACUCGAGGCUCAACCUCGAGAUGUCGGCGGAAACCAUCUGGCUAGAGUCCGGAAGAGGAGAGUGGAAUUCCUGGCGUAGCGGUGAAAUGCGCAGAUAUCAGGAAGAACACCCGUGGCGAAGGCGGCUCUCUGGGACGGUACUGACGCUGAGACGCGAAAGCGUGGGGAGCGAACAGG
rnacentral:rRNA from 1 species